UGAACUGAAGCAGAGCUAUGCGGCGGACGGGUGAGUAACACGUAGGCACCUGCCUCUCAGACUGGGAUAACAUAGGGAAACUUAUGCUAAUACCGGAUAGGUUUUUGGAUCGCAUGAUCUGAAAAGAAAAGAUGGCUUUUCGCUAUCACUGGGAGAUGGGCCUGCGGCGAAUAGCUAGUUGGUGGGGUAACGGCCUACCAAGGCGACGAUGCGUAGCCGACCUGAGAGGGUGACCGGCCACCACUGGGACUGAGACACGGCCCAGACUCCUACGGGAGGAGCAGUAGGGGAUUUUUCCCCAAUGGAACGAAAGCUUGAUGGGGCACCGCCGCGUGACCAUUGAAGGUCUUUCGGAUGGUAAGUUCUUGUUGUCGGGGCCGAACACGUACCGGUCGGAAUAGGGCGGUCCUUUGACGUUCCCUGACGGGAAAGCCCCGCUUAAUUACGUCCAGCAGGCGCGGUAAUACGGUGGUGGGCAGGGGUUGUCCGGUUUUAUUGGGCGUAAGCGGCCCCAGGCGGUUAUGUAGUCUGGUGUUAAAGCCCGGGGCUCACCCCGGUUCGCUUCGGAACUUGUUAGCUUGAUGCAGAAGAGGAAAGCGGUAUCCCCGGUGUGGCGGUGAAAUGCUGAGAUGUGGGGAACACCAGUGGCGAUUCGA
rnacentral:rRNA from 1 species